rnacentral:rRNA from 1 species
CUUGAACCUUAUAAGAGGUAACGCCUGCCCAGUGAUUUAAUAUUUAACGGCCGCGGUAUUCUGACCGUGCAAAGGUAGCGUAAUCAUUUGUCUUUUAAAUAAAGACUAGUAUGAAUGGCAUCACGAGGACUUAACUGUCUCCCUAAUUUAAUCAGUGAAACUGAUCUUCCUGUGAAAAAGCAGGAAUAACUUAAUAAGACGAGAAGACCCUAUGGAGCUUAAAAUCUACAUCUACCUAUAUUUCCUGUUAAUAAAAUACCACUAAUUUAUAGACUUAGAUAAAGUUUUUGGUUGGGGCGACAAUGGAGAACAACUUAUCCUCCAUGAAGAAAAACUUUGAGUUACCACUCUUAGUAGUAGCAAGCCUAACUUAAAUUGAUCCAAAUUUUUUGAUCAACGGAACA